rnacentral:rRNA from 1 species
UACGGAGGGUGCAAGCGUUACCCGGAAUCACUGGGCGUAAAGGGCGUGUAGGCGGGUCGUUAAGUCUGGUUUUAAAGACAGAGGCUCAACCUCUGGGAUGGACUGGAUACUGGCAACCUUGACCUCUGGAGAGGUAACUGGAAUUUCUGGUGUAGCGGUGGAAUGCGUAGAUACCAGAAGGAACACCAAUGGCGAAGGCAAGUUACUGGACAGAAGGUGACGCUGAGGCGCGAAAGUGUGGGGAGCGAACCGG